rnacentral:rRNA from 1 species
AUUGAACGCUGGCGGCAUGCCUUACACAUGCAAGUCGAACGGCAGCACGGGAGCUUGCUCCUGGUGGCGAGUGGCGAACGGGUGAGUAAUACAUCGGAACGUACCCUGAAGUGGGGGAUAACGUAGCGAAAGUUACGCUAAUACCGCAUAUUCUGUGAGCAGGAAAGAGGGGGAUCGCAAGACCUCUUGCUUUAGGAGCGGCCGAUGUCGGAUUAGCUAGUUGGUGAGGUAAAGGCUCACCAAGGCGGCGAUCCGUAGCGGGUCUGAGAGGAUGAUCCGCCACACUGGGACUGAGACACGGCCCAGACUCCUACGGGAGGCAGCAGUGGGGAAUUUUGGACAAUGGGCGCAAGCCUGAUCCAGCCAUGCCGCGUGAGUGAAGAAGGCCU